CCCGGGGCUUCUCCUAUUCACGCCGCCUUCUCCUUUCUCUCUAUCUUCUUUUGGUUCUUUCUCACUCUUGACGCUGAGCAGGGAUUUUCUUGCUAAGGUUGUGCUAGAAGGUUUGGGAUACUAUUAAGAUCAAGACAGAGUUGCUAAAGACAGAGUUGCUAAAGGAGCUGAAGAUAUUGCAGUCAUUUUGGUGAUUGUGUUUUGAAACCUCAUCAUCUUUGGACGAUGUGGCUGCCUUAGUUGAUGGUAACAAAGAUUACAAAGAUUACAAAGACAAAGAUUGGUGACCUGUUUCAUCUUAACAGCUCUUCUUGGAGUAAAAAUGGAUUUUUAAAAUUUGACGCAAUGCUCAAUUGGUUGGUGGGGCUUGUGUGAUAUGCCUCCAUGUAUACCAAUAUUUAUUAUAAUCUCAGUUUAUCUAGGACCAUGACUAUCAAAAUUUAAGUGUUGUUGCUGGUUUUUAAUUGCAUGAAGUUAUUCAUGAUUUUUCAUUUAAAUAAGUAAUCUUGCCUUUA